rnacentral:rRNA from 1 species
GACGAACGCUGGCGGCGUGCCUAACACAUGCAAGUCGAGCGGAGUUACAUGAGGAGUAAUCUGAGUGUAACUGAGCGGCGGGCGGGUGAGUAACGCGUGAGCAACCUGCCUUUUACAGGGGAAUAACGCACCGAAAGGCGCACUAAUACCGCAUGAGACCACAUCCUCGCAUGGGGGAGGGGUCAAAGGAGCAAUCCGGUAGAAGAUGGGCUCUCGUCCGAUUAGGUAGUAGGUGGGGUAACGGCUCACCAAGCAUGAGAUCGGUAGCCGACCUUCGAGGGUGAUCGGCCGCACUGGAACUGAGAGACGGUCCAGACUCCUACGGGAGGCAGCAGUGGGGAAUAUUGGGCAAUGGGGGAAACCCUGACCCAGCAACGCCGCGUGAGGGAAGAAGGUUUUCGGAUUGUAAACCUCUGUUCUUGGAGAAGCGAAGAAGACGGUAUCCAAGGAGGAAGCCCCGGCUAACUACGUGCCAGCAGCCGCAGUAA